rnacentral:lncRNA from 1 species
GUCCACUCCACUCCACUCGGCUUGAUUACAUUCCAUUCCAUUCCUUUCCAUUCCAUUCCCUUCCAUACCAUUCCAUUCCAUUCCUCUCGUGUUGAUUCCAUUCCAUUCCAUUCCAUUCCAUUCCAUUCCAUUCCAUUCCAUUCCAUUACACUCAGGUUGAUUCCAUUCCAUUCCAUUCCAUUCCAUUCCAUUCCAUUCCAUUACACUCAGGUUGAUUCCAUUCCAUUCCAUUCCAUUCCAUUCCAC